AUGACUAACGACAUGGAGCAUCUCUUCAUGUGCUCACUGGCUGUUUGCAUCCCGACCUUGGAGAGGGUCCCAAUUUUGCCUUCACACCACCUCCUACAGAGACUGGCUCCUGUGGAUGCACAUCUUCCUGUGGCUCCAGGCGUCCAAGUGCAGUGGUUGGAUCCCUUCACGUUCCAGGGAGGAUGGACGUCUGGUCAGAGAUCUGAGCAUGAGUUCAAGCAUCACAUCCCCAUGUAUGAAGCACAGAUGUGCGAAGGGUGUGGAGAGGCUGCAGAGCUAUGUGUGUGCAGAAGACAGCGACUUGGUUUCCUCGGGAAGCCUGCUGGACUGCUUGGGGGAAGUAACAUUUCAGCUGAAGUCUGAAGGGUGAGUGGAAUUUAACAAGAGUGAAGCCAAGCGGGGGGGAGGCUGAACCAGCCUGUGCACAGGUGGUGGGCGGAGCACGGGAAGUUCCAGAACAG
rnacentral:lncRNA from 1 species